rnacentral:rRNA from 1 species
AUAGAAUAAAUUAUUUUAAUAUUUUUUAAAUAAAGUAUUAUUUUGUUUUAUUAUAAUAAUAGAAAAAAUUUUUUUAAUUAUAAAUUAAAGUAUAGUGAUAGAAUUUUUAAAUAUUAUGAAAAUUUUAAAUUUUUAAAAGAAUAAUUUAUUUUUAGUACCUUGUGUAUCAGGGUUUAUCAAAAAUAUUUUAUAUAUUUUAAAUAUCUCGAUUUUAAAAGAGUUAAAUAUUUAUAUUUUUUAAUGUUAAAUAAUUAUUAUUAAUAAAUAUUUAGUAAUGAAAUGUUAUUCGUUUUUAAAUAUAUCUAGUUUUUUAAGAAAUAAAUUUAAUUUAUUUAUUAAUAAAAAUGAUUUUUAUUUAGUAAAAUUUUUUUAUUAAUAAAAAAUAUUUUAAGGGAUAAGCUUUAAAAUAAAUUUAUAUAAUAUUUUUAAUUAAAAUUAAAUGUAGGAUUAAAAAUUUCUUUCAAUAAUAAUUUGUUAUAAUUAAUUUUUUAUAAUUAUUUUUUAUAUAAUAUUUAUAUUAUUUAUUAAAAUUAUUUAUUUAAUUUAAUAAUAUUUGUAAUAAUGAUAAAAUUAGUAUAAAUUUUUGUAAAAUUAAUUAUUUAAUAAAGGUUAAUUUAAGGAAUUCGGCAAAUUAAUUUUUCGCCUGUUUAUUAAAAACAUGUCUUUUUGAUAAUAAUUUAAAGUCUAACCUGCCCAAUGAUAUAUUUAAUGGCCGCGGUAUUUUGACCGUGCAAAGGUAGCAUAAUCAUUAGUUUUUUAAUUGAAAGCUGGAAUGAAUGGUUGAACGAGAAAAUUACUGUCUCAAUUUAAUUUAAUUAGAAUUUUAUUUUUAAGUUAAAAAGCUUAAAUAUUUUUAAAAGACGAGAAGACCCUAUAGAGUUUAAUAUUUUAUAUAAUUUAAAUUUUUAUAAUUAUAUAAAUUUUAUAAAAUAUUUUAUUGGGGUGAUAAAUAAAUUUAUUAAACUUUAUUUUUAUUUUUACAUUAAUUUAUGAUUUAUUGAUCCAUUAUUUAUGAUUAAAAGAUUAAAUUACCUUAGGGAUAACAGCGUAAUUUUUUUAGAGAGUUCAAAUCGAAAAAAAAGAUUGCGACCUCGAUGUUGGAUUAAAGUUAAUUUUUGGUGUAGAAGCUAAAAAAUUAAGUCUGUUCGACUUUUAAAACUUUACAUGAUCUGAGUUUAAACCGGUGUGAGCCAGGUUGGUUUCUAUCUUUAAAUAAAUAUAAUAUUUUAGUACGAAAGGACCAAAUAUUAGUAAAAUUUAUUUUUUUUUUAUGAAUAUUAUU